UACAGAGGGGGCAAGCGUUGUUCGGAAUUACUGGGCGUAAAGGGCGCGUAGGCGGCCCGCUAAGUCGAACGUGAAAUCCCCGGGCUCAACCCGGGAACUGCGUCCGAUACUGGUGGGCUUGAAUCCGGGAGAGGGAUGCGGAAUUCCAGGUGUAGCGGUGAAAUGCGUAGAGAUCGGCAGGAACACCCAGGGGGAAACCAGUCGACUGGGCAGCACCUGACGCUGAGGUGCGAGAGCGUGGGGAGCGAACCGG
rnacentral:rRNA from 1 species